UUUUUUUUUUUGUACUCCAAAUUUUGACCUUAAUGUACUUUUUCAGGCCUUAUGUGAUCUUUGCUAUAUUACGAGGCAAAAAUUAUAUGUUCGGACAUUGUUUUUAAAUAUUUUGCGUUUAUCAAAGCUCAUAUAAACAAGAUAGGGUAUUCCUACAUAGCUGGUAGGACCCACGGAAAAUGGAUCAUAAAGUCUUCAAAAAAGAAUAAAUACGAUUGCAUUGCAUGUAGUAACGGAUGCGAUCAUACCAGCAUUAAUGCACGGGAUCCCAUCAGAACUCUGCAGUUAAGCGUGCUUGGGCGAGAGUUGUACUAGGAUGGGUGACCUUCAGGAAAGUCCUCGUGUUGCAUCCCUCUUUUUUUCUCGGUUUUUCUCUUUUUUGUUUUGUUAAAAGUAUAUGACUCUAUAAAUUUUAGACCGUGAGGCCAAACUUGGCAUGUGAUACCUUUUCGGAAAGCCCAAAGAGAGCUCUCCGAUGAAUGAGGAAGCACAAUGGAAUUCUUUUCUUUGUUUUUUUCUACUCUAAAUUUUGACCUUAAUGUAUUUUUUCAGGCCUUUUUCGUGAUCUUUGCUAUAUUACGGGGCAAAAAUUAAAUGUUCGGACAUUAUUUUUGAAUACUUUGCGUUUAUCAAAACUCAUAUAGACAAGAUAGGGUAUUCCUACAUAGCUGGUGGUACCCACGGCAAAUAGAUCAUAAAGUCUUCAAAAAAUAAUAGAUAGAAUUGCAUUGCAUGUAUUAACAGCUGCGAUCAUACCAGCACUAAUGAACCGGAUCCCAUCAGAACUCCACAGUUAAGCGUGCUUGGGCGAGAGUUGUUCUAGGAUGGAUGACCUCUAGGAAAGUCCUCGUGUUCCAUCCCUCUUUUGUUUCGGUUUUUCUCUUUUUUUU
rnacentral:sRNA from 1 species